GUGCUCUCUAUCUAUCUGUCAAAUAAAUAAAUAAAAUCUUAAAAAAAAAAAAAAGAAAAUUUGAAUUGCCUUCUGUCAGCAGCUCUGAACUCAUUUGUCAUGGAUGAACCCGUCGUGCCCAAAUUCCCCUUGCUGUGAAGUCUGAAAUUCUGUGCUCUUUUCCAGAAGGCUUGGGAAAUUCUUCAGCGGUCACUUGGGUCAGUUGGCUUGUGAGGCCUGAGUCUUCACUCCUGUUUUGUUGCAAUACAAUACAAAACAAUACUUUUGUUUCUUCUGAAAGCAGGCGAGUAUCCAAUAUCCACAUAGCUCACUAGGCCACUUUUUGAGUGUCUGCUUCCACGUUGCCUUAUGCUUUCUCUUUAAAACAGCACUGCCAUCCCCGGGGCUCUCUAUGCCCUUUUAUCUUCUCACUACCUGACAUGUGGUUAUUAAUUUGUGUAUUGUCUGAGCUCUCCAUGUGGAACGUCAGCCCCUCGGGGGCAGGAAUUUUGUUUACCCACUAAAUUCCCAGCCCUGAGAUGAAUGCUUGGCUGCCACAUGGUUGGUGCUUAAUACUCAUUGAAUGAAUUAGUAUCAAUUCAGUAUGUAAAUUAAAUUUGAUUGUGAGGCGCCUGGGUGGUUGGUUUGGUUGAGCGUCUGACACUUGGUCUCAGCUCAGGUCAUGAGAUUGAGCCCUGUGUCUGCUUGACACACAGAGCCCUUGGCUCUGCUUGAGAUUCUCUCCCUUUCCCUCUCUCUCAAAAAUAAAUAAGUCUUAAAAAAAAUUUAAUUGUGUCUGCUGACCAGUGCAGAUAACUCAAACUGAGGUUUCUAGGCCAGAAACUUUGAUGUCCUUGAUUUCUCCCUCUUUCUCAGCAACCCCUUCCUUCUUCCUCACUGUCACUGAAGCAUAUUGAAUCUAGGACCAGAAUGUACCUUGGAUUCAUCUGCCCCCUCCCACUGCCCUAGGCCACUAGUGCAAUGCUCUGGCUUCUAACGGGCCAUUCCUCACGACCCUGGUGCGGCUCUUUCUGCCGGUGGGUCCUCUCCUCCUGCUUUAAUAAAACCGUUUUGCACCGAA